GAUGAACGCUGGCGGCGUGCCUAAUACAUGCAAGUCGAGCGAUGCGGGGACGGGUGAGUAACACGUGGAUAACCUCCUAUAAGACUGGGAUAAAUUCGGUAAACCGGAGCUAAACCGGAUACUUAUAGAUUGCUUCGCGCUGCAUUAUCUGGGUGGUAAGGUAACGGCUUACAAAGGCAACGAUGCAUACCCGAACUGAGAGGUUGAUCGGCCCAGCGGGAACUGAGACACGUUCCAGCCUCCUACGGGAGGCAGCAGUAGGGAUUCUUCCGCAAGGGGCGAAAGCCUUACGGGGCAACGCCGCGUGAGUGAGGAAGGUCUUCGGAUCGUAAAACUCUGUUAUUAGGGAAGCGGUACCUAAUCAGAAAGCCACGGCUAACUACGUGCCAGCCGCCGCGGUAAUUC
rnacentral:rRNA from 1 species